rnacentral:rRNA from 1 species
AGUGAACGCUGGCGGUAGGCCUAACACAUGCAAGUCGAACGGCAGCACAGUAAGAGCUUGCUCUUACGGGUGGCGAGUGGCGGACGGGUGAGGAAUACAUCGGAAUCUACUUUUUCGUGGGGGAUAACGUAGGGAAACUUACGCUAAUACCGCAUACGACCUACGGGUGAAAGCAGGGGAUCUUCGGACCUUGCGCGAUUGAAUGAGCCGAUGUCGGAGUAGCUAGUUGGCGGGGUAAAGGCCCACCAAGGCGACGAUCCGUAGCCGGUGUGAGAGGAUGGUCGGCGACACUGGAAGUGAGACACGGACCAGACUCCUACGGGAGGCAGCAGUGGGGAAUAUUGGACAAUGGGCGCAAGCCUGAUCCAGCCAUACCGCGUGGGUGAAGAAGGCCUUCGGGUUGUAAAGCCCUUUUGUUGGGAAAGAAAAGCAGCAGGUUAAUACCCCGCUGUUCUGACGGUACCCAAAGAAUAAGCACCGGCUAACUUCGCG